AUCAACUUUCGAUGGUAGGAUAGAGGCCUACCAUGGUGGUAACGGGUAACGGGGUGUUAGGGCACGACACCGGAGAGGGAGCCUGAGAAACGGCUACCACAUCCAAGGAUGGCAGCAGGCGCGCAAAUUACCCAAUCCCGACACGGGGAGGUAGUGACAAUAAAUAACAAUACGGGGUCCUUUAGGGUUUCGUAAUUGGAAUGAGUACAAUUUAAAUCUCUUAACGAGGAACAAUUGGAGGGCAAGUCUGGUGCCAGCAGCCGCGGUAAUUCCAGCUCCAAUAGCGUAUAUUAAAGUUGUUGCAGUUAAAAAGCUCGUAGUUGAAUUUCGGGAUCAGUACGCUGGUCGUGCCUUCGGUAUGCACUGGUGUCACUGGUUUCUCCCUUCUGAAGAACCAUCAUGCCAUUCAGUUGGUGUGGCGGGAAAUCAGGACUGUUACUUUGAAAAAAUUAGAGUGUUUAAAGCAGGCUCGCGCUUGAAUACAUUAGCAUGGAAUAAUGAAAUAGGACGUUUGACCCUAUUUUGUUGGUUUCUAGGAUCGACGUAAUGAUUAAUAGGGAUAGUUGGGGGCAUUAGUAUUCAAUUGUCAGAGGUGAAAUUCUUGGAUUUAUUGAAGACUAACUACUGCGAAAGCAUUUGCCAAGGAUGUUUUCAUUAAUCAAGAACGAAAGUUAGGGGAUCGACGACGAUCAGAUACCGUCGUAGUCUUAACCAUAAACUAUGCCGACUAGGGGAUCGGACGAAGUUAAUUUUAUAAUGACGCGUUCGGCACCUUACGGGAAACCAAAGUGUUUGGGUUUC
rnacentral:rRNA from 1 species